rnacentral:lncRNA from 1 species
AGUGGCAUAACCCUUUGCUUACUCAAUUGUAGUUGCGGGGGAUCGGACCGUAAUCCGCCCUACCAAGUUCAGCACCAGAACCCGCUGAACCAACUACAAAAAAGUCUUAUUUUCAUUUUUUUUAAGGUUCUAUAUCCGUUGGGUUAAGUGACCGGGUGAAGGUCACCAAACUUAGAAGGUGCAUUCCCUUUUCUUUCUAUUUUUUUUUUCUUUUCGGAACACUCACUUAUAUUCAUCGGCUUCCCUGCGUAGAGUGUGUGUGAGAUGGUGCUGACUGCUGAAAUAAACUACUCAAGAGCUAUCAGAGGAUGAGAAUGUAAGGCUAAAACAUAAUAAAAAUUCAACUCAAUUUCCAUAUGCAGGAGACUUACGGUGUUAAAACAAUACCAAUCUUGUGAACUUUUCCCAAGUCUCUACAAACCAACCUCAAAUUAUUCUAUAGCCUAAAACUUUCAACAAAAAUGCAAUUUUUUUAGAAAGAAAACAAAAACAAAACAAAACAAAGAACAAAAACAAAGAAAAUAAAGUAUUUCUUCCCCCACACUUAAAAUAUGCAUUGUCCUCAAUGAAAGAAACAAACAUAAAAUAAGAGAGAGAAGAGAGAGGAAAGAACACACCCGAGUAGUCAAGGAGGAUAGGUGAUCACAUAAGCAGCCUUUCCCAAAGAGAUAUAUUCUACAUUUUUUUCUUCCAAAGUGGGACUGUCAUGGAAUAGCUUUGGGUAAUGUCCAUUGAACUUGAAAUUUUUAUUAGUAUCUUCGUCUUUUAUUCCAGGAUCAAAGAAUCUUCUAAAAGUAAAAAUGUCAAAUCGACACGUGAAGGUGAUCUGAUCUGGAAUGUCAGCCAAUGUCCAACCAAUUGCCUUUUUAUGCUUCCUUAAAAUCUGCAAAAGCUUAUUUUCUUGAUCGAAAUCAAGGUUAGAAGAAAUUAUAGCUGGUAGUUUUUCAUUCAUCUCUAAAUAAGCAUAUUUCAUAUUUUCAGGAAGUUGCUUCAGCUCGAGGGAAGGUGGCUGCUCAAUAGGAGGAGUGUUUGGGGCAGCCGGGAUGUCAAGAGCUUUAUCUACAUGAACAACUUUAUUUGCAACCUCAUCUGCAGUAAGAAUAUCAACUUGCAAGGCAGCCUCAAUUUCAGCACAAACAGAGCAAAUUUUAGUUUCAGUACAAAUAUCACAAGAAU